UGCAACUUUGACCAUUCGUCUUAUUCAAAAUUUUUUGAAAGCAUUAUUUAUUUUAUUUGUGAUUUACUUUAUUAUCAAAAGUACUUUAAUCACAACUUAUCAUUUUUACAAUAAAUUUUUUAAUAAGACGAAUGGUCAAAGUUGCAUGCAAAUAGUCA
rnacentral:pre_miRNA from 1 species